rnacentral:rRNA from 1 species
GGUUAAAAAGCUCGUAGUUGGACUUGUACGAAGUUCGUUGGUCCGCCCUUUGGGUGUGUACUUUACGGUGUCCGUCGUCUCUCUGGAGAACGUUGCCAUGCUCACGCGAGGUGCGGUAUCCGGAGCAUUUACUUUGAGGAAAUUAGAGUGUUCUCGGCAGGCAUUUGCCUUGAAUAUGUUAGCAUGGAAUAAUGCGAAAAGGCCUCGGUUUUUCUUGUUGGUUUCUAACCCCGAGGUGAUGAUUAAUAUGAGCUGUUGGGGGCAUCUGUAUUUAACUGUCAGAGGUGAAAUUCUUGGAUUUGUUAAGGACAGACUAGUGCGAAAGCAUUUGCCAAAGAUGUUUUUCUUGAUCAAGAACGAAAGUUGGGGGAUCGAAGGCGAUCAGAUACCGCCGUAGUCUCACUUACUAUAAACUAUGUCGCCUAGAGAUUGGCCGCAGUCAUCCUAUUGACGUGGCCAGCACCUUAUGAGAAAUCAAAGUUUUUGGGUUCCGGGGGGAGUAUGGUCGCAAGUCUGAAACUUAAAGGAAUUGACGGAAGGGCACCACCAGGAGUGGAGCCUGCGGCUUAAUUUGACU